rnacentral:rRNA from 1 species
AGGUAACGGCCCACCAAGGCUACGAUCAGUAGCCGGUCUGAGAGGAUGAUCAGCCACACUGGAACUGAGACACGGUCCAGACUCCUACGGGAGGCAGCAGUGAGGAAUAUUGCGCAAUGGCCGAAAGGCUGACGCAGCGACGCCGCGUGAAGGAUGAAGUUCGUUAGAAUGUAAACUUCUUUUGUAGGGGAUGAAUGUUCCGCUUUGCGGAAUUGACCGUACCCUGCGAAUAAGGAUCGGCUAACUACGUGCCAGCAGCCGCGGUAAUACGUAGGAUCCGAGCGUUGUCCGGAUUUACUGGGUGUAAAGGGCGUGUAGGUGGGUCUCUAAGUCGGUGGUGAAAGCCCGCAGCUUAACUGCGGAAUUGCCAUUGAUACUGGAGGUCUUGAGUACGGCAGAGGGAAAUGGAAUUCAUGGUGUAGCGGUGAAAUGUGUAGAUAUCAUGAAGAACACCGGUAGCGAAGGCGGUUUCCUGGUCCGUAACUGACACUGAGGCGCGAAAGCGUGGGGAGCGAACAGGAUUAGAUACCCUGGUAGUCCACGCCUUAAACGAUGAAUACUAGGUGCUGGGCCGUAAGGUUCAGUGCCAAAGCUAACGCAUUAAGUAUUCCACCUGGGGAGUACGAUCGCAAGGUUGAAACUCAAAGGAAUUGACGGGGGCCCGCACAAGCAGUGGAGCAUGUGGUUCAAUUCGAUUCAACGCGAAGAACCUUACCCGGAUUUGAAAGGCCAGUGACAACCGAUGAAAGUCGGUCUUGUAGCAAUACACACUGGUACAGGUGCUGCAUGGCUGUCGUCAGCUCGUGCCGUGAGGUGUUAGGUUAAGUCCUGCAACGAGCGCAACCCCUACAUUUAGUUGCCAUCAGGUCAAGCUGGGCACUCUAAAUGGACUGCCUACGCAAGUAGUGAGGAAGGUGGGGAUGACGUCAAGUCCUCAUGGCCCUUACAUCCGGGGCCACACACGUGCUACAAUGGACAUUACAGAGGGUUGCAGAGCCGCGAGGUGAAGCUAAUCCCAAAAAAAUGUUCUCAGUUCGGAUUGGAGUCUGCAACUCGACUCCACGAAGCUGGAAUUGCUAGUAAUCGCGGAUCAGCACGCCGCGGUGAAUACGUUCCCGGGCCUUGUACACACCGCCCGUCAAGCCAUGGAAGCUGGGGGUACCCGAAACCGGUGCGCUAACCGCAAGGAAGCAGCCGACUAAGGUAAAAUCAGUGGCUGGGGCUAAGUCGGAACAAGGUAGCCGUAUCGGAAGGUGCGGCUG